CACGCGUGCGGGGUCCCCCAGGCCUGCUCCCAGCUGAGGUUCCCAGGGUGUCACAGACAUGGCAGGAGAACAGACAGUUGCAUGGCGGCACUCACGCGGAAGCCCAGCUCCCCAGCAUAGCUGCUGUGGUCAGCUUCACCUUCCUGGAAGGGACAGAAAAAUGGGGAUGAGCUUCUCAGUGGGGCCCCCAGCUCUUCCCUUGGGCUCCCUCACUGCUCCUGCUGUGCCCGCACCCCAACACAGCUGGUACACACUGGGCCCCGGGAGCAGGGCUGGGAGGGAAGCAGAACGUGGCUGCCUCGGUACCAGUGGAGGCCAAACACCACCAGGAGGCCAAGACACUGGGAUGCGCUCCAAAGACCAAUACCAGCGGUGGGGAGCUAUGCAGAGCUCGGGAGGGACGCGGAGGAGCGACUUACGGCUGCCUCCUCAUGCUGGGCUUGUCUCUCCGGCUCCUUGUAGCCCAGUGGAGCAUCGAAGUCCACCUGUGUCCCCAAGAAGAAAGCACGAUGAGACAAGGCCACACUCAGCCUCCGUGGCUUUUCUGUUCUAAGUUGGGACAACUGUGGGUCCACGUGCAGUUGUUGGAGCCGAUACAGAAGGGGCCUUGUACAGUAUGCCCAUUUCCCCAAUGGUCACGUUUUACAAAAUCACAGCAGAACAUCGGCAAAGACAACCCAGCCCUCGUCCAGACGUCCCCAGUUUACACGCACACGCGGGUUUGUGUUUUGUUCUCACAAUUUGUCAUCACUGCAGGCAACCUCACUGCCCUGGACCCCGGCAACCACUCCUCUAAACAGACCCAGACAGAACGGAACCCUUCUGCUGGGCAUCCUUCCCUGAAGACCCAGCACGCUGGGCUGUUGUGCCCACUACUCGGAGCUGAGCAACCUUCCUCAGCCUCCAAGAAGACUCAGCCCCUCGCAGGGCUGAGAUGCUGAUGGAUCUAGCCAUCUCAGAACCAGCAGCAACCCUGCCACCAAUCACAAGCCUCUGGAGCUCCUCUGCCGCGUGGGGAGGCAACGUUUGCUAUUGACAGGCCUGCCAUGUGCUGUUCUUCUCUAAGUGCUGGAUCUCCUCUGCUCAUCUCUCCACGUCUGGUGCUCGGCACCUGUAACUACCCGGCCUGGUGGACACUAAACUCCCUGUAAGCGUGAGCUGUAGGCCAGUUCUGGAACAACUCCACUCAUCUCUUCACAGUAGUUCCGCCCUCCGUUCUCUCCCACUGGGGUUUUCACUGGGCACGUUUGGUUUUCUCAGGAUCUCCCAAACCUCAGCUGCUCACGUUGCUGCCGUGCUUCUCUGUGCAGACACCUAAGUCACUCCUGCAGAUUCAACUUCCCCUUCGCUAAUCCUUUGUUGGCUGUUGUUUAACCCUCUGACUGCUUUUCAAAUAAUCCUGGAUAUUUUGGAUAGACUUUUGCUGCUUGCUAAAUUUUAUGAUUCCAUUAAAAAAUUUUUUUGAACAUUUUUUACAUAGUUAUUUUAUCUUUGCACCUGAAGGUCCCAAUUGUGAUUUCU